UACGUAGGGUGCAAGCGUUGUCCGGAAUUAUUGGGCGUAAAGAGCUCGUAGGCGGUUUGUCGCGUCGGCUGUGAAAACCUGGGGCUCAACCCCGGGCCUGCAGCCGAUACGGGCAAACUAGAAUUCGGUAGGGGAGACUGGAAUUCCUGGAUGUAGCGGUGAAAUGCGCAGAUAUCAGGAGGAACACCGGUGGCGAAGGCGGGUCUCUGGGCCGAUAUUGACGCUGAGGAGCGAAAGCGUGGGGAGCAAACAGG
rnacentral:rRNA from 1 species